AAAAGGGGGUGCACCGUUCCUGGAAGUACUGCAAUACCAGGUCGAUGCGUGGAGUGGACGGAGCAAGCUCCUAUUCCAUCUCCUAAUUCCAAAAAUCCAUUUAAUAUAUUGUCCUCGGAUAGAGGACGUAUCAGAUAUUAAACUGAUAAGAACAGAUACUACACUUGAUCUUAGCCAAAAGGCCGAGAAGCGAUGCAGUUGCAGCCGCCUCCUGGCAACCCUUACCCUUACUAUAGCUUUUACGAUUGUGGCGAUUUUUAUGACAUAAUUAUUAGGUUACCUUGAAAUAUGUAAUAUUUCUCAAAUUCAACGUCUCAUUAUCCUUCCUUUAUAAUAAUAGCUAGAUUUUUUUUAAAAAGAGAUCUUAAAUAGUGGUCUUUGCUGCAUUGCCUGCCUGUACACGCUCCGCUUGUUUUACAUAACCCUGCCCUGCCAAUGAUUUUCUUUCUUGGGAUUGGUCCACAUACAAGUCUGGAUUUCAAUAUGGGCGUGGUCUCUUUGCCUCCCAGACUCGGGCCUGUCUGCCCGCCUGCAGGCCGCGCGGCGCUCUCGGGCUCCCCUCCCUUCCGCGCCUCCUCCUUGACUGUACCAUCCACCCGCAAACCACUUACAUCUUGCCGUUUACGACGCAUCGUCCACCGUGCGCCCUUCACACAAGGAAACAGAUGCCCAGACAAAGGCGUUUUGGAGGGUCCCGAUUCCUAAACCCAGGUGGAAGAGACAGGCUGAGGCCAGUGUAGAUAAAAUGUAAACGAAGCAGUUCUUUUGUAGGCUCAAGGCGAAGUCCGGCUGUAUGAAAAGGAUUGAUGAUCAGGCGGGAACUGAGAAAGGACUUGAGGUCCCGUUUCCUUGGAAACUAUAUUAAUAUAAAUGUGGAGCGUUCUUUUUUUUUUUUUUUUUUUUUUUCUAAUGUGGAACAUUCUGUUGUUGGAAAUCCCCUUCACUGAAGCUCUACGCCCGGGCUGGAAAUAGAGGCCGUUGUCUCUGUGUCAAGGUGACUAGGUGGGGUGGGACCUUCUGUUCUCACUGACAGGCUUUCAACUAGCAAAAUUUCUAUAAUCUAUGAUUUUAGAGAACAAGGUUCUCAGCAUUGUGUCCCUGAUGCUAAUAAACAGGCAGUUUGUAAAGGUUCCCAUAUGUAAAUCCAGAGCCUCCAGGGAGGGCUGAAUUAAGGUGUGGCCGGUAGAAUACUGCCCCCAAUAAAGAUACUCCCGUGCUAA